rnacentral:lncRNA from 1 species
AAUGCAUAUAUUCAUUUUUUCUUUUCUUAAAGUUCUAUGCCAACUUUUUUGCGCUACCUUAUUGACGUCGCUGUAAGAAAACGAACUCUACAAAGUUUCAAGGAAUUCAACGAAGGGAGUACUCCUCCCGCGUCUACGUCAGUGGAACUUGGAAUUUCGCUGAUCAAUACGCAGG